CACAGCAACACGCCACCAGAGAGGGAUGCGGCCUCCCGCUGCCGCGCCGAGCAGCCAACCAGCACGGCCCAAACAUAGAUUUUACAGAGCGAUCCAUACCCUUACCCUGAAACGAUCCAGGAAUGGCCGUGCCCAGGAGCUGCUCCGGGGGUGCCUGCCGUGGCCACCUGGGAUGGGCCACGUGCGGAGCUCCGCUUAAUCUGUGUCUACUUGCCAGUGUACUUUUGCAAAACAUGAACAUAGUGGGACUCCGACUUCUUUAAAAAUGGCCGUCAGUCCCUCUGCCAGCUAACUCGUGAUCUGCAUGGAAGGAUUUGACUUGGGCUCGGCAGGAAGGUGCAAAGCGGCCAUAGGGGCCCAGUGGGGUCUUCUCUGUCUGGAAAGUGAUCGCGGUAGAGUGUCUCACCACCCCCAGUGGCACGCACAGCGGGACAGGGUGGGUGUCAGGCCGGGGUGGGCUUGAGCACGGCCCAGGAGGCAGAGUCCCGGGACCCCUCUCCCGGUCACUCUCGACUGGCCAGCUCGGCUGGCCUCAGGCAGCCUCACCGGGACAGUCCUCUACGCUCCUCAGUCACAGGCAGACCUUCCAAAAUAGCUGCGCAGCGCCCCUGCCGUGGAUGGCACAGACGGGCAGCCAGGGGGAGUGACAAGGGGGCAUCCCAGACCCCAGACGCAGCGUCCAAUACCUGGACGGUUCAGAGCGUCAUGUACUGAGCACACUCACCGCCCCAACCGGUCGAUCUCCCCAAGAUCACCGUGUGGAGGGCAGCAGCUCUUAUCUGCCCUCCGCAGAGCCGGAAAGUGACCCUCCAAGCAGCUGCCGCCCCCAGGCCUGACUCUUUCGUCCUCGCCGGCAAGGAGCUGACUCCAAACACAGCCUGCAGACCCUUCAGAAGAGGAGGAAGGAUCAAGAUUCUCGCCAAGCCAGAAGGGACAGCGCCAUGAGCUUUGGCGGGACCAGGAAGAAAUGCUCAUUUGAAAACAUGCCUGACUCUCUGUGGAUGUGAGGAACCAGAACGCGGAGGGACAGCUUGCUGGUGGGGGUGCCAGCCUGGCUGUGAGCAGCAGCACCCGGAGCCCUGCCCCCCCUUGCUGGCGCUCCCCCCCCAGACCCAGCCAGUGCCCGGGUCCCUGCCUCCCCUCCGCCCCUCCCCGCCCCCUGUGACUCGGCCUCAGCACCCCACUGUCGUCCCAGGGUGCACGCCGCCCCAGCUCGGCCACCCUCGGGGGCGGAGGGAAGCCCGUGCAGGUGGCACGCUGACCUUUCCACGCAGGACUGAGUCCUCCUUCAGGCCCAGCAGGUCCUGAAGGUCUUGAAGGUCCCCCGGGUGUGCUGGGACACCUGCACCUAAGCACACGGCCCUUCCUCCUGCCCCCGACACUGCAUGUGCCCCCAGUCACCCAGAUUCCCACUCGCACACCUUCCCCUGAGCCAUGCUAGUGCGUUCCCUCCACGGCACCCACUGAUGAGGAGGGACGAUGGUCAGGGGGUGACCUGCUGCCCAGGAAAGCAGCAAGUGCCCUCCCGGGUGUGGUGCAGCUCUGCAGACCCCCGCCCUCCACAACCCACCCCUCUGCUGCCAUGGUGUCUGGGAACCGCCCCUCACCCACCGCUGCCCCCAACCCUGCCAGCGCUCCCGCUGGGACACUCGGGGUCCCCCCACCCAGACGCCCCCCACCCAGUCCUGCUCAGAGCUGUGCCUGAAAAGGCCCUGGCCCCGUGCGGCCGGCCCUGCCGUGCGGAGAGUGUCACCACCCGAGGACAGACAGGUCUGACCCCAGCCAGGCCCCCCUGGAGGCCACCUCUCCGUCUUCAGCGCCCGUUCUCCCUCCCUCCCUGCUGAAAGGUCUUGACAGGUGAAGGUGACCCUGCAGUCCAAGCACAGGUGGUGGUUGCCAUAGUGACAGCCAUUGUCCAGGCUGUCUGCUGUCAGAGAGCCUCCACGCCCCUGCCUGCCCUGGGCCCUCGUGGUGACUUCUGUCCUUCCUGGACGCCUCUGGUGCCUGUCCACUUAAGAGGUCCGUGGCGAUUCCACCUCAUGGCUCAGUGGGGGUGGGGUACAGGGGGGAUUGCAGUGACACUGCAGGGUGGAGGGGUGCAGCUGCCUUUCCCCGUCACUGGCUGGUGACCAGUGUCCCCGUCACCCGGCGGGAGCAGGAACAGCCCACUCCUCACCUCGGCUGCCCAGUGCGGGCUCUGGUCUCCCACUGGGAAAGGACCACAGCUGCCUGUGGAACUGUGGCCAGGUCUCUGUGGAGAAGGGAGACAACGAGGGCUAAAAGGACGGCUAGACAGACCAACCAAUUAGUUCAGAAAGCCAUUUCAAAGCAGAGGUAGCCAUCUCAGGCGUGCCCAGAGUCCAAAACCAGCAACAAACCCCAAAUCCUGAGACGACGGGAAAAAAUAAGGUCGAUUUCAUAGCAACUGACUUCUAUACAAUACCCAGGACAGGAAGGGGCAGCCCUAUAGAUCUGGUCCAGAGGCUCCCUACCACUGUGACUGGUCAGGGCUGGGGACAGACCAGCCAUCCCCAGCUGCUGCCGGGAGCUGCUGACUCUCACAGCAGGAGGAGCCUCAGCCUGACCCCCAAGGCUCACCUCAGCCUUCUCUGCAGCGGCCAGUCUGCCCCUGCUCCAGGUCAGAGGCUCCCUGACCUGGGACUCCCUGACCAGCCAUCACUGCCAUGUCCAGACUCAGGACUGGACUCACUGCUGCCCCAGCCAGUGCAGCCCUGGGCAGUCUGUGCCUUCCCGGCUGCCCGCCCCACUCCCAGACGACCUGGUCUUCCUGGCUUGUGCUUCCUGGGGAGUCCUGGCCUCCCAAUCCUCAAGCAGUCAGAGAUUUGUAGGAUCAGGAGUGACUCCUCAUGAGACUAUGUUCUCCCGGGUCACCUUGGGCCAUCCAUCUUCCCACCUGGUACGAGGACAAGAGGAGGCUUGCCCACAUGCCAGGAAGGGGUCUCCUGGAGAGAAGACCUGUCCCAUUCUCCCUGGGUCCUGAGCUCCAGGGGCCCCUGUCAUGAUGUCCCGGACCACUGGGGCCCUGGAAACUCCUACCUAUCCCAACAGGGUAGAAUGCCCUUCCUCCCCUGGACGUCAUCGGGUGGUAGCUGAACAAACCCUGCAGUGUCUCACCUACCAAGGAGGACAGCUUGGCCUCACGCCAGAUUCCACCCAGCUCCACCGCCUCCUGGUGGCGAGCUGGGGAACAUCACUUACCCUGUCGGAGUUUUCCGUUGUCUAAAUGGAAAGUCACCCCCCGGCGGUCAGAGCCGCUGUGCGAACUCACGAGAUACAUUACACAGAGAAUCGGAAACCUCACAGUGAGCACUCAAAGGCGCAUUUCUUUCCCGCCCUCAAUCAUUUGAAUAAACGGGCUCCUCACA